GAUGAACGCUGGCGGCGUGCUUAACACGUGCAAGUCGAACGAAGCACUUUAACCUGAUUCUUCGGAUGAAGGUUUUUGUGACUGAGUGGCGGACGGGUGAGUAACGCGUGGGUAACCUGCCUCAUACAGGGGGAUAACAGUUAGAAAUGACUGCUAAUACCGCAUAAGACCACAGAGCCGCAUGGCUCGGUGGGAAAAACUCCGGUGGUAUGAGAUGGACCCGCGUCUGAUUAGGUAGUUGGUGGGGUAACGGCCUACCAAGCCAACGAUCAGUAGCCGACCUGAGAGGGUGACCGGCCACAUUGGGACUGAGACACGGCCCAAACUCCUACGGGAGGCAGCAGUGGGGAAUAUUGCACAAUGGGGGAAACCCUGAUGCAGCGACGCCGCGUGAGCGAAGAAGUAUUUCGGUAUGUAAAGCUCUAUCAGCAGGGAAGAAAAUGACGGUACCUGACGAAGAAGCACCGGCUAAAUACGUG
rnacentral:rRNA from 1 species